rnacentral:rRNA from 1 species
UUUACAAUGAAAAGAGCCAGAAGGCACUCUUAUGUUUGUUUAGUGUUGCGAAAGGAUAAAAAGAUUUGUUUGUUGUACCUUUUGUAUCAGGGGGUUUUAAAAGUUUAAUUAUAAGUGGUAUCGAUUCGGUCAGAUUUUUUAUACCGGUAGUAGUAGAAUUUAGUGGCAGCAUAGGUUGAGAGGUGAAAAGUUUUCGGUGGCUAUGGUAUCUAGCUAUUAAAAAUUAUCUGUUAGGUAAGCUAACAGAUGUUUAUUAGGGUAAUUUUAUUAAUAAGGCUAGGCUUUUGAUUAGCCAUGCUAUUAGUUUGUUUCAAAUAAUUAUUUUAUAAUGCGGGAGGUAAAGUUAUGUUAUUAUUUUGAUAAUUGUUGGUUGUAAUAAAUAAUGAAGUCAUUGAACCAGGGGCGUAGCUAUAAAAUAACUCAUGUUAGGCGGGAUAGUUUAACAAAAACAUUUUUUUUAGGAUCUUUAAAAGUAAAACCUGCCCGGUGCGUUGUAAACGGCUGCGGUAUUUUGACUGUGCUAAGGUAGCAUAAUCAUUUGUCUUUUAAUUGAGGGCUGGCAUGAAAGGUUAAACCCGGGUAUUUAGUUUGUAAGUUAAAGGAGAAUUUUAAGUAGGGGUAAGAAUUCUCUUGUCUUCUAGGGGACGAUAAGACCCUAGAAGCUUUAUGAGAGGUAUGUUUAGUAGUGGUGAAAAAAUGUUAGUUUUACUGGGGCGGUAACAGAAUGUUAACUAUUGUUUAAUUGGCGGAUCCUUUUAAUUGAGAUAGAGCAGAUAAGUUACUUUAGGGGUAACAGUACAAUAAUUUUGAAGAGAUCUUAUCGAUAGAAUUGUUUGUAACCUCGAUGUU